rnacentral:rRNA from 1 species
AGCGAACGCUGGCGGCAGGCUUAACACAUGCAAGUCGAGCGGGCAUCUUCGGAUGUCAGCGGCAGACGGGUGAGUAACACGUGGGAACGUACCCUUCGGUUCGGAACAACUCUGGGAAACUGGAGCUAAUACCGGAUACGCCCUUAUGGGGAGAGGUUUACUGCCGAAGGAUCGGCCCGCGUCUGAUUAGCUAGUUGGUGGGGUAACGGCCUACCAAGGCGACGAUCAGUAGCUGGUCUGAGAGGAUGAUCAGCCACACUGGGACUGAGACGCGGCCCAGACUCCUACGGGAGGCAGCAGUGGGGAAUAUUGGACAAUGGGCGCAAGCCUGAUCCAGCCAUGCCGCGUGAGUGAUGAAGGCCUUAGGGUUGUAAAGCUCUUUUGUCCGGGACGAUAAUGACGGUACCGGAAGAAUAAGCCCCGGCUAACUUCGUG